AUACGUAGGGGGCGAGCGUUGUCCGGAAUGAUUGGGCGUAAAGGGCGCGUAGGCGGCGCGGUAAGUCUGGAGUGAAAGUCCUGCUUUCAAGGUGGGAAUUGCUUUGGAUACUGCCGCGCUUGAGUGCAGGAGAGGUUAUCGGAAUUCCCGGUGUAGCGGUGAAAUGCGUAGAGAUCGGGAGGAACACCAGUGGCGAAGGCGGGUAACUGGACUGCAACUGACGCUGAGGCGCGAAAGUGUGGGGAGCAAACAGGAUUAGAUACCCUGGUAGUCCACGCGGUAAACGAUGAAUGCUAGGUGUUGCGGGUAUCGACCCCUGCAGUGCCGGAGUCAACACAAUAAGCAUUCCGCCUGGGGAGUACGGCCGCAAGGUUGAAACUCAAAGGAAUUGACGGG
rnacentral:rRNA from 1 species